ACCUUCAGCACUGCAUCGUGGAGGCUUGUGACAGCAUAUAAAAUAAAAUAAAACGGCGUCCUGUGACUUUUGACUCGCCCUGUACAAUAUCACGAUAUGUACCACAGCGUUCAGCUUUGAUAAGUUGCGUCAGAGAGAACGAGCUUACUUGAAGACUAUAAAACUAAGACUAACACUAGAGGAGAUCGAUAUGGCAGGAACGUAAUGUCACGAUGCUCCAAGACGUUUUCACGAUACACGGAUGUGGUUAUAAGAUGAGAGAAGGGGUGAAAGGAGUCUGAAACCAAAACAACAUUCAUUCAAAGCAACCGAAAACAGAUUCACAUUUCAGCUUUGAGCGUACCUGAAGCCUGGUGCCACAAACAGUUCCAGCAACUACGCCGUUAGCGUCUCCCACACUAGAGUAGCAGAAUCAGAAGCCCACAGUGGACUUCUUCAGAGUGUGGGAUGCCAUGCUGUGCAGAGAGGCAUAAGGCUGUGUAAACGCAGUGGUGCUAAUC
ensembl:lncRNA